rnacentral:rRNA from 1 species
UACAGAGGGUGCAAGCGUUAAUCGGAGUUACUGGGCGUAAAGGGCGCGUAGGCGGUUAGAUAAGUGAGAUGUGAAAUUCCCGGGCUUAACCUGGGGUGGUCAUUUUAGACUGUCUGACUGGAGUGCUGUAGAGGGUAGUGGAAUUUCCGGUGUAGCGGUGAAAUGCGUAGAGAUCGGAAGGAACAUCAGUGGCGAAGGCGACUACCUGGACAGACACUGACGCUGAGGCGCGAGAGCGUGGGUAGCAAACAGG